rnacentral:rRNA from 1 species
UACGUAGGGGGCAAGCGUUGUCCGGAUUUAUUGGGCGUAAAGAGCGUGUAGGCGGCUUUACAGGUCCGUUGUGAAAACUCGAGGCUCAACCUCGAGACGUCGGUGGAAACCGUAAAGCUAGAGUCCGGAAGAGGAGAGUGGAAUUCCUGGUGUAGCGGUGAAAUGCGCAGAUAUCAGGAGGAACACCCGUGGCGAAAGCGGCUCUCCGGGACGGUACUGACGCUGAGACGCGAAAGCGUGGGGAGCAAACAGG